GACGAACGCUGGCGGCGUGCCUAAUACAUGCAAGUCGAACGCAGUGGGGACGGGUGAGUAACACGUGGGUAAACUUCCAUCAGAGGGGAUAACACUUGGAAACAGGUGCUAAACCGCUACUGAUGGAUGGACCCGUGGUGCAUGAGCUAGUUGGUGAGGUAACGGCUCACAAAGGCCACGAUGCAUAGACGACUCGAGAGAGUGAUCGGCCAGACUGGGAUGGAGACACGUCCCAGCCUCCUACGGAGGGCAGCAUUAGGGAUUCUUCGGCAAUAAACUAAAGUCUGACCGAGCAACGCCGCGUGAGUGAAGAAGGUUUUCGGAUCGUAAAUCUCUAUUGUUAGAAAAGCGGUAUCUAACCAGAAGGCCACGGCUAACUACGUGCCAGCAGCCGCGGAGAUUC
rnacentral:rRNA from 1 species